rnacentral:rRNA from 1 species
GGAGUUUGGGCCGUGUCUCAGUCCCAAUGUGGCCGAUCACCCUCUCAGGUCGGCUACCGAUCGUUGACUAGGUGGGCCGUUACCUCACCUACUAUCUAAUCGGACGCGAGCCCACCCUUCACCGGAUUGCUCCUUUGACCCCUGUGCCAUGCAGCACCGUGGUCUUAUGCGGUAUUAGUACAACUUUCGCUGUGUUAUCCCCCUCGUGAAGGACAGGUUGCUCACGCGUUACUCACCCGUCCGCCGCUAAAACAUACAUCUUCGUCUCCAUCCGAAAACUUCAACUCCGUCAUAUGUCUCCGCUCGACUUGCAUGUGUUAGGCACGCCGCCAGCGUUCGUCCUCGAGCCACUGAUCAAACUACU